rnacentral:tRNA from 1 species
UAAUAAGAAGCAAAAUUGCAGUUAACUUCGAACUAACCUUUGAUGAUCAAAUUCAUCCUUAUUAA